CGGCCUAUGGCAGCUGACCACAGGCAACCCAAGUCACCGGUCAGGGAUGGGCUUGGAGAGACGAAAACCGCUAGGCCCUGCUGUGAUGCACAUUAACAACCGGGAUCGGUGCCCGAAUUCACAUAAAAGCAGCGUGGAUUCUUGACCUUGCUGCUCAGAGUCGCGCAGCACAGCGUUGCUAUUGGCCAGCCCCCAAACCCUCUCCGUCAGAUCUUUGAAACGAGCCUCUGGAAGCUGACGGUAUCUCAGGAUCCUGGUCCUUCAGUACCCUCUGGUGGUAGCUUUGUGCCAUUGCAGCAGCUCAUAACUUUAAGUUGACCUACAGUCCCUUGCCCUGACAGAGACAACUUGUUAUUGUGUCAUGGUGCCUCCUGGAAUUUAGUCCCAGCCUAUUGGCUUAAAGAUACAGCCAACCAUCGGACUGAACCCAGGGACCCAAAUGGAACGGUUAGGAGAAGGGCUAAAGGAGCUCAAGAUUGCAGUCCCAUAGGAAGAACAACAAUCUCAACUAACUGGAUCCCCCAGAGCUUCCAGACUGUGCGUAGGGUCAAAUGCAGGAAUUGUAAUCAAGAACGAAGCAUUCAUCUAUGAUGUGUGGAAAUAGCUGGCAGAAGUCAGGUCCUUGGCGAUGUCUCUCUUGAUCUUCAUCCUGGGCCUUGGUGAAGAAAACCAUUUCUGUUACGUAUUCCCACACGUGUGAGCCACUCCUCUGGGUCUUCCCCACCACGAUGGACCGACACUUCUGAGAGAGUGAAUAAAAAGGAAUGUUUCCAAGAUGCUUGGGUCAGGUGUUAUAGUUACGGUGGUGCGAGACAAUUACAUGAAAACAGGAAACAGCAAACUGGUGGUCUCAGCUGUCCUGAUUGUCAAGAAUAAGAUAGGAUACUGCCUGAUGCUGGGAUAUUCAGGGCACACAUUCUCCAAUGACUUGAUUCCUAGCUUAAAGCACAGCUUGGAGACACUUGGGAAGUAGAGUAUAGUAGAGGGGAUAGGUCAUUAGGUCUUUGAAGCUUACAUCCUCUUCCAUUUCUGAGGGUCUAGUCAGUGUGAGCCUCAUGGUCCCAUUGUUGCAGGUUGGCCUCCUGCACUUUUCUGGCCACGAAGAUCUACAGAUAUCUGAAGUUUAAUGAUACCAAAUAUAUCACUCAUUUUAAUGCUUCUGCUGAGAAUUCCAUUACAGUGAUCAGAAAA